AGGUCCUGCCUGCCCAGUGACUAUGUUAAACGGCCGCGGUAUUUUGACCGUGCAAAGGUAGCGCAAUCACUUGUCUUUUAAAUGAAGACCUGUAUGAAUGGUGGAACGAGGGCCUAACUGUCUCCCUUUUCAAGUCAAUGAAAUUGAUCUGCCCGUGCAGAAGCGGACAUACAAAUACAAGACGAGAAGACCCUUUGGAGCUUAAGAUUAAAAAUCAACUAUAUCAAAUAUUCAUUAAAUAGAACUAAAUAGUAAUUGAUCAUAAUCUUCGGUUGGGGCGACCACGGAAUAAAAACAAACUUCCACAUGGACUGAGGACUAACCUUAAAACCAAGAAAGACAUUUCUAAGUAACAGAAUUUCUGACCACACAGAUCCGGCAAAUUGCCGAUCAAUGGACCAAGUUACCCUAGGGAUAACAGCGCAAUCCCCUUUUAGAGUUCCUAUCGACAAGGGGGUUUACGACCUCGAUGUUGGAUCAGGAC
rnacentral:rRNA from 1 species